CCUACGGGUGACAGCAGUGAGGAAUAUUGGUCAAUGGACGAGAGUCUGAACCAGCCAAGUAGCGUGAAGGAUGACUGCCCUAUGGGUUGUAAACUUCUUUUAUAUGGGAAUAAAAUGUUCCACGUGUGGGAUUUUGUAUGUACCAUAUGAAUAAGGAUCGGCUAACUCCGUGCCAGCAGCCGCGGUAAUACGGAGGAUCCGAGCGUUAUCCGGAUUUAUUGGGUUUAAAGGGAGCGUAGGUGGAUUGUUAAGUCAGUUGUGAAAGUUUGCGGCUCAACCGUAAAAUUGCAGUUGAAACUGGCAGUCUUGAGUACAGUAGAGGUGGGCGGAAUUCGUGGUGUAGCGGUGAAAUGCUUAGAUAUAACGAAGAACUCCGAUGGCGAAGGCAGUUCACUGGACUGCAACUGACACUGAGGCUCGAAAGUGUGGGUAUCAAACAGGAUUAGAUACCCGAGUAGUC
rnacentral:rRNA from 1 species